rnacentral:rRNA from 1 species
CCUACGGGUGGCAGCAGUCGAGAAUCAUUCACAAUGGGGGAAACCCUGAUGGUGCGACGCCGCGUGGGGGAAUGAAGGUCUUCGGAUUGUAAACCCCUGUCAUGUGGGAGCAAAUUAAAAGGAUAGUACCACAAGAGGAAGAGACGGCUAACUCUGUGCCAGCAGCCGCGGUAAUACAGAGGUCUCAAGCGUUGUUCGGAAUCACGGGGCGUAAAGCGUGCGUAGGCUGUUUCGUAAGUCGUGUGUGAAAGGCGCGGGCUCAACCCGCGGACGGCACAUGAUACUGCGAGACUAGAGUAAGGGAGGGGGAACAGGAAUUCUCGGUGUAGCAGUGAAAUGCGUAGAUAUCGAGAGGAACACUCGUGGCGAAGGCGGGUUCCUGGACAUUAACUGACGCUGAGGCACGAAGGCCAGGGGAGCGAAAGGGAUUAGAUACCCCGGUAGUC